rnacentral:piRNA from 1 species
UAAACUCAAAUAUUUGUUGGCCUACUGAAGA